CAGCCACCUGCAGUAGCGAGCCCUGGCUGAAGCAUCGUGUGGUUCAUGAAUAUUUGAUGGUGUGAUGUUAUUUUGAAUGGCUGGGGCAGGUGAAGGGGGCCGAGGGUGUAAUAAGCGACUCUGCUGGAGGCUGUGUCCCUACUCUGUUUCCCUGCAGGGCCCACAGUGUAACACCAAGAAGCAUCCUGACCCCGCUUGGAUGGAGGCAAGGGCCGCUAAGGCUGAGGCAAGAUGCUAUGACAAGUCACGAAAACUCUGAGGAGGGAAAGAAUGGAGACCUGGAGACCUGACUUCAUAGCCAAAUCUCUAUCCUUAGCACCUCUGUUAUAUCCCCUGCUUCUCUGAGUG
rnacentral:lncRNA from 1 species